UCUUUUUGAAUAUUAACUUGAAACAUCUGCCAAAAAUAUUUUACAACAUUGACAAGAAUUGGUUGAUGCACUUUGUUAUUUGAUAAGAAGAGUUGUGGGCUUUUUGUUUUGUUUUUUGGAGGUUGGCGUGAUUUUUCAUUUUGAAUUAUUGUUUGGUUUUUCUUCCCAUACAAUUCCAUUUUGAGCCACUGGUGCAUGCAAAUUGCCUUAUUUAUUACCCAAAGAUCAAGGUUCUAUGGUUUGUGUGUUUUCUCCGUUCCCUCAAUGUUAUUGACUUAUCCCCACAAAAAUGAUUUUGCGACACUCAGCUCUCCUUUGCUCCUUCCUAUUAGUCGUGUUUUCCCAUCUCUGGUGUUAGAUUGCCAUUGUGCCACCUUUGAAACAUGUUGCUUUCAUUUCUCCUGUUAUCAUCCAUAGUCUGACAACUGAUACAUUCAGAAAAUUGCUUUCCACUGUUUACCUACCUCCUUUUCCCAAUUCUUCUGCAAUUUGACUUUUCCUUCCCUGCAGAUACAAUACAUUGAGUAAUCAGAGAAGAUUCUUCUGGAAUCAGAACUGUUUCUCUCACUGACCCAUGGAGAGUUUCCCUGCUCUGGUGGUCUUCCUGACUUGACCAUUGUACAGUGCCUACUUCUACACACAGACUGAGGCUGGAAGUGGAGAUUGAAUUCCAUGCUUGUGUAAAGGCUCCGCUGAUGAUUCUGAUGUCUGUGGCUUUCCAUCUAUGUGACCAAACACAUCCCCACCAUCUCCAUAUGUCAAGAUGAGAAGGGAAUACCCAGCAUGUGUGUCAACCUCUUCCUUCCUUAAACUGUCAGCAUCAGCUGAGUGAUGCAGACAGUUCCUCUAUGAAGAACUGCAUGAAGACAGACGCUUCAUUUCAUAUGAGGCUAUGCAGAGGUUGUCUGUCAUCUCUCCCAGAUGAGGGAAUGCCUUUCAGUUAUUACAAACUUGGCUUUGAAACUGUGACCUACUGGUUUGCCUAACGCAAGAAACAAAUGCCCUGAAAUUGAUUUGCCAUAAGAUAUGAUGAGAUGCUCACCCUUGCCUGGAAGGAGUGGGAUAUUUCACCUGUGGGUGGUACUCCCUCACUAUCUAUCAGGUUUGCCACUGCUCUGAUGGGAAAAUAUCCUGGGAGCAGAGCUAGUGGAAGGCAAUCAUACGUAUCUGCCUGCCUAGGAUUCUUAGUAGCUGCUCGUUCAGCCUCUUACUCCCACCCACUCUAUCCUCUGCCUCACAAGUUGUCUAUUGCCAGCCAUUGUAGUGGAUCCAUUCAGAAGAAUCUUGAAUAUUCAUAGUAACCCUAAUUUACUAAUAUAUAUUCACUAAUGUCAGCGAUCUGUACAAGUGAUUCCUGAGCUUAUUACAGUAACAAGUUUCUCCAAUGCUACUGGGCAUAUUCUUCAUGUCUCUCUUUCCAGACUACUGACUCAAUUUAAGAUUACAUCCUUUGCUCCUUUGCGUUUAUUGCACUUGCCCUGUAAAAUCUAUUCCCUUCACAUUGGAGGAUGUCUAGAGACACAGGGGGCGAUCAACUGGGCACAGGAUAUAUUUGAUGCCAUUGCUUUAACGUGAUUCACUCUUCCUUUGA